AGACGAAAAAUGGAGUCGGUUACCCUGGCUUCAAGCUUCAGGGCGGGAGGGAAGACAGCGAAACGUCUGGCUCGAACCAGUUGGCGCCCUCGAAUAUUCUCCAUCAGAUCAUUCAACCAUUCUUUUCGAUUCUCGUGAAAGAGAUGGGCUAUAUCGGAGCACAUGGCGUGGCGGCUCUCCGAAGAUACAAGUACCGUGGUGAGGAUAACUCUUUUAUGGCGAAAUAUGUCUUGCAACCCUUCUGGAGCCGUUUCGUGAAUUUCUUUCCUCUUUGGAUGCCCCCAAACAUGAUAACUUUUGCUGGAUUCAUUUUUUUGGUCACAUCUGCACUGCUUGGCUAUGUGUAUUCGCCUCAUCUAGAUUCAGCUCCACCAAGAUGGGUUCAUUUUGCCCAUGGGUUACUCCUUUUCUUAUACCAGACUUUUGAUGCUGUUGAUGGAAAACAAGCAAGAAGAACCAAUUCCUCAAGUCCAUUGGGGGAACUUUUUGACCAUGGAUGUGAUGCACUUGCAUGCGCGUUCGAAUCCUUAGCUUUUGGAAGCACUGCUAUGUGUGGAAGGAAUACUUUUUGGUUAUGGGUUAUUGCAGCCAUUCCAUUUUAUGGUGCUACAUGGGAACAUUAUUUCACCAAUACUCUAAUUCUUCCAACUAUAAAUGGACCCACAGAGGGUCUUAUGCUGAUCUAUCUAUCUCACUUUUUUACAGCAUUUGUUGGUGCUGAAUGGUGGGCUCAACCUCUUGGAAAAUCCAUACCAUUUUUAAGCUGGGUUCCGUUGCUUCCUGAUGUUGCGAUGAGCAGUGCUGUGAUGUUACUAAUGACAGCUUUUGGUGUUAUUCCCACGGUUGCAUUUAAUGUUUUCAAUGUCUAUAAAGUUGUUCGGGCUAGAAAAGGAAGUAUGUUACUGGCUUUAGCAAUGCUGUGCCCAUUUGCUGUACUCCUUGGUGGAGUCCUGGCAUGGGAUUACUUAUCUCCUUCAGACCUCAUAAAGAAUUAUCCACAUUUGGUUGUAACCGGAAGCGGCCUUGCCUUUGGAUUCUUAGUGGGAAGAAUGAUUCUUGCUCAUUUGUGCGAUGAACCUAAGGGCUUGAAAACUGGAAUGUGCAUGUCACUUUUCUAUCUCCCAUUUGCGAUUGGGAAUGCACUGACGGCAAGACUUAGUGGAGGGGUUCCUGUGUUUGGUGAGGGAUUGGUUCUGGUUGGUUACUUCAUCUACACAGGUGCUCUCUAUUUGCACUUUGCCACAUCAGUUAUUGAAGAAAUGAAAAGUUCUUUGGGAAUCCACUGCUUCAGGAUAAUGAAGAAAGAAAGUUGAAAUCUGCUGGUUUUUCUGUAAUGAAUCUCGGUUACCUUCAUGUAGAUUGUACAUCGUAGCUAAAUCACAGUAAGGUAUCCAUCAACAAUAUUCCUCUCUCUGUAGAUUGUAGAUGGAAUCCUUGAGCAGAAUUUCUGCACGUAUCAUACUGGCCAUCUGAUCUAUGAUCACAGAGAAUUGGGAAGCAUCCAAUGGAAAUGGAGCACGUCAGACAACAAAGGUAUAUUUCUUAGAGCAUGUAAUGUAAGCUGGGGUAUGUUGGUUUUGAAAUUAAUCAUGAGCCCAUUCAAAUUAAAUGAAAAGUAAGGCAUAAUCUUUGUUGUUUUAUCAAGACAGGAUAUGCUCAUAAUCAUGCAUAAAUAUUGAAAGUGACAAUCCCAUUAACUCCUUGGUUAAAGCUUAUAAGUUACAUAAACAAUAGCAAAAUUAUUAAUUAAGGGAAGUCCAUAGGGACAUCAUCAUUACCAAAUGCCAACUAUAUUACAACUUAACUGGGGGUUAGCUUUUUUAUAAUAUUAAAUUAAUGUUUUUUUGUCGAACUGUUGGUUUUGUGUAUUUCAAUAAUGUAAAAUGCUCGCGCGUGUAUGGAGCGUGCGACUUUUACUAUUAUGAUCCCUACCUUCUACCUUUUUUUCUCUGCUCCAAAGUACCAUCCUCGGAGUAUGUUGUAUGAUGCGAAUUUUCAAUAAUGCAUGAUAUAAUUUAUAUGUGGCAAGCGAAAUAUUUGAGGUCCUA